AGCAGCCGCGGUAAUUCCAGCUCCAAUAGCGUAUAUUAAAGUUGUUGCAGUUAAAAAGCUCGUAGUUGAAUUUCGGGAUCAAUUGAUUGGUCAUGCCUUGGUAUGAACUGGUCAUAUUGGUUCUCACCUUCUAAUGAACCAUAAUGUCAUUCACUUGAUGUUAUGGGGAAUUAGGACUGUUACCUUGAAAAAAUUAGAGUGUUUAAAGCAGGCUUACGCUUGAAUACAUUAGCAUGGAAUAAUGAAAUAGGACAUCGCAUUCUAUUUUGUUGGUUUCUAGGAUCGAUGUAAUGAUUAAUAGGGAUAGUUGGGGGCAUUAGUAUUCAAUUGUCAGAGGUGAAAUUCUUGGAUUUAUUGAAGACUAACUACUGCGAAAGCAUUUGCCAAGGAUGUUUUCAUUAAUCAAGAACGAAAGUUAGGGGAUCGAAGACGAUCAGAUACCGUCGUAGUCUUAACCAUAAACUAUGCCGACUAGGGAUCGGAUGAUGUAAUUUUAAUGA
rnacentral:sRNA from 1 species